UACAAAGGGGGCUAGCGUUGCUCGGAAUCACUGGGCGUAAAGCGCACGUAGGCGGGUCCUUAAGUCAGGGGUGAAAUCCCGGAGCUCAACUCCGGAACUGCCUUUGAUACUGGGGAUCUUGAGUCCGGAAGAGGUGAGUGGAACUCCGAGUGUAGAGGUGAAAUUCGUAGAUAUUCGGAGGAACACCAGUGGCGAAGGCGGCGCACUGGUCCGGUACUGACGCUGAGGUGCGAAAGCGUGGGGAGCAAACAGG
rnacentral:rRNA from 1 species